UAUAUAUAUAUAUCGAACUAUGCUACUAUACUAUCGGUAGCACGGAGCCUUCCGUGCUACCAAAUUGUUUUCGAUGAUGCGGCUUCCAAAUCGACGAUCGGCUCCGUUAGGCUUGAUCUACACUAUUGAAAGUAUUUAGAAACUAAAUUUCAUAAGUUUUCGAUAUCAUUUACCUAUCAAAUAAGUAGUUUAAAUUUGAACGGCUGAAAAUAAAAAUCUCAUGAAAAAUGAUGAUAAAAGAUUUAAAUUCAAGAUCAGAUAUACUGAUCUUACUCUAAAUAGUGAAAAGAAUUUUCUAUAAAAUUUACAUCGCAUUUGGAUUGUUUUACACCGUUAAACUCACAAACACACCACAUCGGCCAUUAAAAUUGUCAAUUUUGAGAUCUUUCGAUUACUAGUCAAAUGAUGUCGAAAAAAUCUGAAAUUUAGUUUUCAAAUACUUAUAAUAGUGUAGAUCAAGUCUAACGAAACCAAUCGUCGAUUUGGAAGCCGCAUCAUCGAAAACAACUUGGUAGCACGGAGCGCUACGUGCUACUGAUAGCAUAGUAGCCGGACUCUCUCUCUCUCUCUCUCUCUCUCUCUCUCUCUAUAUAUAUAUAUAUAUAUAUAUAUAU
rnacentral:lncRNA from 1 species